CCUACGGGAGGCAGCAGUGGGGAAUAUUGGACAAUGGGGGCAACCCUGAUCCAGCAAUGCCGCGUGUGUGAUGAAGGCCUUAGGGUUGUAAAGCACUUUCACUGGGGAAGAUAAUGACGGUAACCGGAGAAGAAACCCCGGCUAACUUCGUGCCAGCAGCCGCGGUAAUACGAAGGGGGCGAGCGUUGUUCGGAAUUACUGGGCGUAAAGGGCGCGUAGGCGGUCUUUUAAGUUAGGCGUGAAAGCCCCGGGCUCAACCCGGGAACUGCGUUUAAGACUGGAAGACUAGAAAACGGAAGAGGGUAGUGGAAUUCCCAGUGUAGAGGUGAAAUUCGUAGAUAUUGGGAAGAACACCAGUGGCGAAUGCGGCUACCUGGUCCGAUUUUGACGCUGAGGCCCGAAAGCGUGGGGAGCAAACAGGAUUAAAUACCCCUGGUAGA
rnacentral:rRNA from 1 species